GGCUUCGUUGCUCAACUGGUAGAGCUCUUGCCGUGUUUGGGCAUGGUGUUUUUGUCGCUGGGCCGAAUCCAGCUGAAGCCU